UACGUAGGGUGCGAGCGUUAAUCGGAAUUACUGGGCGUAAAGCGUGCGCAGGCGGCUUGCCAAGUCAGAUGUGAAAAGCCCCGGGCUCAACCCGGGACUGCGUUUGAAACUGGCAGGCUAGGAGUUUGGCAGAGGGGGGUGGAAUUCCGACGUGUAGCAGUGAAAUGCGUAGAGAUGUGGAGGAACACCGAUGGCGAAGGCAGCCCCCUGGGCCAAAACUGACGCUCAGGCACGAAAGCGUGGGGAGCAAACAGG
rnacentral:rRNA from 1 species